UACGUAGGGUGCGAGCGUUAAUCGGAAUUACUGGGCGUAAAGCGUGCGCAGGCGGUUCUGCAAGUCAGAUGUGAAAUCCCCGGGCUUAACCUGGGAACUGCGUUUGAAACUACGGAGCUAGAGUCCGGAAGAGGCGAGUGGAAUUCCCGGUGUAGCGGUGAAAUGCGCAGAUAUCGGGAGGAACACCAAUGGCGAAGGCAGCUCGCUGGGACGGUACUGACGCUGAGGCGCGAAAGCGUGGGGAGCAAACAGG
rnacentral:rRNA from 1 species